AAGUCGUAACAAGGUUUCCGUAGGUGAACCUGCGGAAGGAUCAUUAAGGUAAAGUUGGCCUAUCACUCAUGUGAUCUUUGAACUCUUAGGAGGGAUAAUGAACUGGGGGGAUAUGCUAACUAUAAAACUUUCUAUGUGUAUUGUAUUGUUUAGGCGGAUUAUUAAUUCAUUAAUGAUUCGUCAUAUUACUCUAAAAUUAAGUCAUUAUAUACCAAAAGAUACAACUUUUAACAAUGGAUCUCUUGGCUCUC
rnacentral:misc_RNA from 1 species